UACAGAGGGUGCGAGCGUUGUCCGGAAUCACUGGGCGUAAAGGGCGCGUAGGCGGCCUGGUAAGUAGGGGGUGAAAUCCUGUGGCUUAACUGCAGGGCUGCCUCCUAGACUGUUAGGCUCGAGCACGGUAGAGGCAGAUGGAAUUCCCGGUGUAGCGGUGGAAUGCGUAGAGAUCGGGAAGAACAUCCGUGGCGAAAGCGGCUCUCUGGAACGGUACUGACGCUGAGACGCGAAAGCGUGGGGAGCGAACAGG
rnacentral:rRNA from 1 species